AAAGCAAAUUUAAGGGGCCUGAAGAAUGGCUCCUCUGUUUAUAACAUGCCCAACGGGAAACUGAGAUCAUUGUGACCAGGGGCACAGAACAUGUGGCCUCUCUAUGAACAAAUUCUCUACAUGU
ensembl:snoRNA